GAUUUCCGAAUGGGGAAACCCAAUACGAGUUAUGUCGUAUUAUCGAUACGUAAAUACAUAGCGUAUCGAAGGUAGACGCGGAGAACUGAAACAUCUUAGUACCCGCAGGAAGAGAAAGAAAAAUCGAUUCCCUGAGUAGCGGCGAGCGAAACGGGAAUAGCCCAAACCAACGAGCUUGCUUGUUGGGGUUGUAGGACACUCUAUACGGAGUUACAAAGGAAUAGAUUAGACGAAGCAUCUGGAAAGAUGCAUCAAAGAAGGUAAUAAUCCUGUAGUCGAAAAUCUGUUCUCUCUUGAGUGGAUCCUGAGUACGACGGAACACGAGAAAUUCCGUCGGAAUCCGGGAGGACCAUCUCCCAAGGCUAAAUACUCUCUAGUGACCGAUAGUGAACCAGUACCGUGAGGGAAAGGUGAAAAGUACCCCGGAAGGGGAGUGAAAGAGAACUUGAAACCGUGUGCUUACAAGUAGUCAGAGCCCGUUAAUGGGUGAUGGCGUGCCUUUUGUAGAAUGAACCGGCGAGUUACGAUUUGAUGCAAGGUUAAGCAGUGAAUGUGGAGCCGUAGCGAAAGCGAGUCUGAAUAGGGCGUUGAGUAUUUGGUCGUAGACCCGAAACCAGGUGAUCUACCCUUGACCAGGUUGAAGUUCAGGUAACACU
rnacentral:rRNA from 1 species